GCUCCGCCCCCCGCGUCCCUCAGGCCCCGACGAGAAGAGGAGGCGGUGGCGGCGCAGUUUCUCAGUGUGGAGCGGUCACAGUUUGGCCCGACUUCAGCAACUUGAAGUGCCUGACCACUUCAUCUCCAGGGCUCCGAGAGAGGAGGAGGAGGAGAAGAAGAAGUGUCAGCGGAGGAAGGAGGAAACUUGGAUGGUCCGCCCAGCCCUGCCCCAACCGAACCGGAGGCUCGACCAAGCCGGCCUGGAGAUGAGGGCGGCUGCAGCGGCGAACCGAUGGAUUCCUCCUGGAGCGAUACAGUCCCGAGAAUCGCAGCAAAGAGGAGGAAGAGGACCGGGGAUCAAGCCUAUCUGUGGAGACCAAGAUAGCCUGGGAGGAGGCUAUGAGUUGACCUAUCCAUCAGGAAUAAAAUAAUAAGUAUCUCAUUGUGUACUAACCCAGUAUUUACUGCCUGCAACGUGCGAUUUGGCCUCAGAUAUAUCUCUCUUACAUUUUUAUAAUCAAGAUAAAAGUGCAUUGGGAUUUUUCCUCACAGAAUAUUUCCCCAUUCCAAUUUCAGGGGAAAGAACUCCUGUUAGGCAGCUUCUUCCAGUUCUGAAAAGUCAGUUGGGGAGGUAGCGGGAGCCUCUAGUUAGAAAGUCAUAAAAAGGAAAAUAAGCUUGCGAUUAAAAAGAGAGACCUGUUAGGAAAUUUAAAACUGAACCGUCCUGCAAAUUUCCCAGGGAAAUUUACCCUCCUGUCACCUUAAAAAGAACAAAUAAAAUGGCUCAAGGCAAGGCUCCCCGAUUGAGGACAGUUCACUCCCCUGACUACUGGGAUUGGGUUUCUAUUCCAAGUGAGGUUUGCGUUGGUUUCAGAAGAGAGAAAAGACAAUCGUCACCCUUACUCUAAGAGCAUGACUCUCCAUGCGAUUUGGAAAAGAAUUCCUGCCGUAUCCUGUCAAAACCGUGGUCUAGCCUGUGCUCAAACCUGGGUUGCUAUUUUUCAGAGACAUUCACCUUGCCUACUUCAUCUGUGGACAUGGGAGCUCAGGAACAGGAUGGGACAGGAACCAGGAAGA